UUCUUUUUGCAGGGGACUAGUCGACCAACGCAUUAUCAUGUGCUGUAUGAUGAAAAUAAAUUCACUGCAGACCAGCUACAGAGUUUGACCAAUAACUUGUCCAUUCAGUUAUGCGAGGUGUACUCGAUCUGUCUCAAUAGUUCCUCCUGCCUAUUAUGCACACUUGCUAUUAUUCAUCAUGGGUGGAUGGGCGUUAUUUUGUUUAGUAUUGGUUAGAACUACUAGACAGCUUUUGGAUACAGUGGUCACUGGGUGUUGGUUGCUAUGGAUCUUUCGAGACUAAUAGUGUAUAUUGUUGUUGUACUUUUACUAAAUCAUGAAUAUGUUGUUGUAUAUUGUUGAUCAAAGAAUCAUAUAUUAAUGUUGUAUAUAUGAAGGAUUAAUGUUGUAUAUAAAUGGAUUCAUGUUGUAUAUAUCAAUGGAUUAAUGGUGUAUAACAUUGGAUUAAAGGAUGAAUUCAAUAUGAAUUUUACA